GGGGGGGAGGGGCGGCGAGGCGAGGCCUGCGGAGCGGAGGAAGACAAACAUAAAGAUGAAGUGCUUAAUUCAAGGUCACACAAUGUCGGGGAUGGACCUCCAGAUUUCCUUACUGACCUGCAUUAUCUUGUGGAUACCUGAGUGAAUUCCACACCACCCAUUUUAUAGAUGAAACCACUGAGACAUGGAGCAAUUGACUGAGUAGUCACUGCCCCACCCCUGCCUGGAGCCUCACACAUGACUCGCCUCCUCUCAGUGACCACAGGUUGGUUGAGGGGUUUAACAAGGCUAAGAAGGUGAGACGUGGUCUUGUAACACAGUGGUUAAGAAUGUGACUUUGGAGCCAGCCUGCUAGGGGCUGAAUUCUGACUCAGCCAUUUACUAACUGUGUGACCUUAGGUAAGUCAUUUACCUUCUUUGUCCCUCAGUUUCAUCUCGGUUAAGUAGGGAUAAUGAUAGCACCUAUUUUAUAGGGUUAUUGUGAGGAAUAAAUCCAAGUAAAAUGCUUAGAAUAGUAACUGAAACAUAGCACUCAUUAGGAAUGCUUUAAUUUUCAUUUAUUUGAGUAUUAAAGGUUGAAUUUUCAGAGGUAUUUUGGACCUUUGUAUUUUUUCUUUAAAUCACUUAUUCAUGACUUUUGAACUUUUUUUUUUCUUUUAGAGACAGGGUCUUGGUUUGUUGUCUAGGCUGGAAUGCAGUGGUGCAAUCAUAGCUCACUGUAGCCUUGAACUCUUGGGCUCAAGAGAUCCUCCUGCCUCAGCCUCGUGAGUAGCUGGGCCUACAGGCGCCUGCUACCACACCUGGCUAAUUUUUUAUUUUUUGUAGAGAUGGGUUCUUGCAGCCCAGACUGGUCUUGAGCUUUGGCCUGAAGUGCUCCUCCUGCCUUGGCCUCUCAAAGCAUUGGGGUUACAGGUGUGAAGCACUGCACCUUGCCUACACAUUUUUUCCAAUAAUUUUUUUUAUUAAUUUGUAAGAGUUAACAUGUCGACUAUCAUAUAUAACAUAGAAUUGUUCCCAUUUUGUCAUUUCCUUUCAACUUUGUCUAUGUAGCUUUUUUUCUGUGUGCAAAUUUUACAUUUUUAGGUAGUCAGAAAAUCUCUUCCCUUGUAAUUUUUUCUGCUACUAGACCAAUGUUUAGAAAAAAGCGUGCUUCCCCACCUCAAAAUUAUAAAAAUAGUUACUUGUUCUUUUUGAGUACUGUGUGUGUUUAAAUCUUUAAUCUUUAAAUUUAAAUCUUUGAUCCAUCUGGUAUUUAUUUUGAUAUGAAGAGAGUGGUUGGGAUCUGGCUGUAUUUCUUUUUUCUUUUUUUUUCUUUUUUCUUUUUUUGACGAAGUCUCACUGUUGCUCAGGCUGGAGUGCAAUGGCAUGAUCUCGGCUCAUCACAACCUCUGCUUCCUGGGUUCAAGCGAUUCUCCUGCCUCAGCCUCCCGAGUACCUGGGACUACAGGCACUCGCCACCAUGCCCGGCUGAUUUUUGUAUUUUUAAUAGAGAUGGUUUCACUAUGUUGGCCAGGCUGGUCUCGAACUCCUGACCUUGUGAUCUGCCCACCUCAGCCUCGAAAAGUGCUGGGAUUACAGGCGUGAGCCACUGCGCCCAGCCUUGUAUUUUUUUUCAGUUUGGGUAGCUGUCCCUAAUUCAUUUGUUAAAGGAGAAGCAAGAGCAAGAACCUUUAAUCUGUUCUCCUCUUCCCUAAUUUGAAAGUAGCUUGUUAUUUUGAAUAUCACUUUCUCUGAAAUAGCACAUCUCCAUCUCAGAGAAUGGAUUUAAUGUUUGGAUACAGCCAAAAGUCAUUUCAUUACCAAACCAUGGGGUGAAUAUACCAUGUAAAGCAGUUUGGGAUCAGAACUCACAGUCUGAAUUGUAAGUGAUGAGACUGCUGUCUCUCUGCUACAGCUUCUUGGCUGGCUCUGAAGGCUCUUUGAAGGCAGAUCCUAACAAGGGGACUGCUUUGAAGGGCCAUUGUUCAUUUGGAAUGAUAAAGUCUAUGUUGUUCAAAAAACAAAUGCUUGUAGCAGGUAUUUUUUCACUCCAGACUGAGAAUAUUGGUGGGAUAUUGAUAAGGGGUACUGAAUGGUAAUAAACAUGUGCUCUAGCUCUGUGCUAGUCAGCUUAUUUCAGAACUCUAGUUUGAUUCAGUUUCUUGCCUCUGACUCAAAAUGGAGGGAGAGUGAUUUUUACAUAAGAGAACACACCCACAUAUCCUUUUGGCAGCAGCUACCUGCCAGAGAUGUUGAAGAAGAGUAGCCAACCUUUACACAGCAGAUAUUGUGUGCCAGUCAUAGUCCUAAGUAUAAUACCUUACAUGUAUAAACUUCUUAUAAGGUUGGUGCUCUGUACCGAAUUGAAUAGUAUCCCCCAAAAUUCAUGUUGUCCCAGAACCUAUGAAAGUGAUCUUACUUGAGGGAGGGGGGAGGGGGGAGGGAUAGCAUUAGGAGAUAUACCUAAUGCUAAAUGACGAGUUAAUGGGUGUAGCACACCAGCAUGGCACAUGUAUACAUAUGUAACUAACCUGCACAUUGUGCACAUGUACCCUAAAACUUAAAGUAUAAUAAUAAUAAAAUAAAAAAAAAAAAGAAAGUGAUCUUACUUGGAAAUAAGGUCUUUGCACAUAUGAUCAAGUUGAGAUGAAGUUGUACUGGAAAGUCUGUCUAGUGACUGGUGUUGUCAUAAGAAGAGAGGGACACAGAGGGAAGAUGGCCACAUGAAGAUGGAGGCAGAGAUUGCAGUUAUGCUGCUGCAAACUAAGGAAUGGCUCUGGCCCUCCAAGGAUUGCUGAUAACCACCAGAAACUAGAAGAGACAAGGAAGGAUUCUUCCCUAGAGCCUUCAGAGGGAGCAUGGCCCUACUGACACCUGGAUUUCAAACUUGUAGCUUCCUAAACUGCAAGAGAAUAAAUUUCUGUUGUUUUAAGCCA
rnacentral:lncRNA from 1 species